rnacentral:lncRNA from 1 species
UCAUAACACCUUAGCUGCACACCAUCUCCAUGAUGGAGGUGGCAGUGCAGGACUGCUGUCAUUGAUCGUAGUGUGAUGGCGUGCCAUCUUUUCCAACUCACUUACUUCAAUAUUAUUCAUGUACAGAAUUCCAUUUUUUUAGAUCUCCAAGUUGGGACUGAGAAUGGUGAAUAUAUUACUAAAGUGUAUAGAAAACCCACAUAUAUGCCUGUAUUAAUACCGGCUUGGUCACAUGACCCUAUGCCUACAAGCUUGCAAGUUUUAAAUCUAUAUUUACUAGGGCGUAUACCCAUGUUACAAAAUGGCAAGAUAGAGCACAAGAAUUAGCAUAUAUUUUUGCCCAAAGACGUAAGUAUGGCUUUACUGAUAAGCUAAUGCAAGGUGUAUGGAAUAAAAUUUGUAAUCUAUGCAGAAGACAUCAGGGGUCACCCCCCGUGUACAACAAGACACUGAUGCCUGCCCCUUCGCAAACAUUACAUAUUAUGAUAUCACAGACAAGAUCUUAAGUAGGGCUUUGAAGGAGGGGGUAUAGAAUGGCCUGGAAAAAAGGCCCCACGAUAUUUAACAUCCUACAUAAUGAGAAAGACCAUAUUCUGAAGAAUAGGAAAUUUGGGGUAUACUCAGUUCCCCUAUAUAAUAAAGAUGAAGGGACAAUGCAAU